GAAACAAAACACUGUCAUUUGUUUAAAGUCUAAUGUGCAAAUAGAAAUAUUCAAAUGCAGGAAUAUCCUGUGGUCUGUCAAAAUCUGAUAUUACUUCUAGAAAUCAUACAAAGGUAAAGAGGAAGGAGCCAUCAGUACGGUGUACAUUUUAGGACAUCGUCAGGUCCCAAGAAAAAAGUUGUCAGGUAUCAGACAAAAAAUUGUCAGGUCUCAGUUCUCAAGAAAAAAGUUGUCAGGUAUCAGACAAAAAAAUGUCAGGUUGUCAGGUAUCAGACAAAAAAUUGUCAGGUCUCAGUUGUCAAGAAAAAAGUUGUCAGGUAUCAGACAAAAAAUUGUCAGGUCUCAGUUGUCAAGAAAAAAGUUGUCAGGUAUCAGACAAAAAAAUGUCAGGUCUCAGUUCUCAAGAAAAAAGUUGUCAGGUAUCAGACAAAAAAAUGUCAGGUCUCAGUUCUCAAGAAAAAAGUUGUCAGGUAUCAGACAAAAAAAUGUCAGGUCUCAGUUGUCAGGAAAAAAGUUGUCAGGUAUCAGACAAAAAAUGUCAGGUCUCAGUUGUCAAGAAAAAAGUUGUCAGGUAUCAGCCAAAAAAAUGUCAGGUCUCAGUUCUCAAGAAAAAAGUUGUCAGUUAUCAGACAAAAAUUGUCUGGUCACAGUUCUCAAGAAAAAAGUUGUCAGGUAUCAGAGAAAAAAAUGUCAGGUCUCAGUUCUCAAGAAAAAAGUUGUCAGGUAUCAGCCAAAAAAUUGUCAGGUCUCAGUUCUCAAGAAAAAAGUUGUCAGGUAUCAGACCAAAAAAUUGUCUGGUCACAGUUCUCAAGAAAAAAGUUGUCAGGUAUCAGAGAAAAAAAUGUCAGGUCUCAGUUGUCAAGAAAAAAGUUGUCAGUUAUCAGACAAAAAAUUGUCAGGUCUCAGUUCUCAAGAAAAAAGUUGUCAGGUAUCAGAACACAAGGUACCAGAGAGAAAAUCUUCCUGCAGGUGGCGGUGUUGUCAUGUCCCACCCUGUGUUGCCAACUUAGCGAAUUUGUCGCUAUAUUUAGCGAGUUUUCAG
ensembl:lncRNA